AGCUUGCUGCUUUGCUGACGAGUGGCGGACGGGUGAGUAAUGUCUGGGAAACUGCCUGAUGGAGGGGGAGUAACUACUGGAAACGGUAGCUAAUACCGCAUAACGUCGCAAGACCAAAGAGGGGACCGUUCGGCAUCUUGCCAUCAGAUGUGCCCAGAUGGGGAUUAGCUAGUAGGUGGGGUAACGGCUCACCUAGGCGACGAUCCCUAGCUGGUCUGAGAGGAUGACCCAGCCACACUGGAACUGAGACACGGUCCAGACUCC
rnacentral:rRNA from 1 species